AUUGAACGCUGGCGGCAGGCUUAACACAUGCAAGUCGAGCGCGCGGCGGACGGGUGAGUAAUGUGGGGGAAACUGCCUGAUGGAGGGGGAUAACUACUGGAAACGGUAGCUAAUACCGCAUACCCUGAGAAGUGCCCAGAGGGGAUUGGCUAGUAGGGGGGGUAAUGGCUCACCUAGGCGACGAUCCCUCGCUGGUUUGAGAGGAUGACCAGCCACACUGGAACUGAGACACGGCCCAGACGCCUACGGGAGGCAGCAGUGGGGAAUAUUGCACAAUGGGCGCAAGCCUGAUGCAGCCAUGCCGCGUGUGUGAAGAAGGCCGUCGGGUUGUAAAGCACUUUCAGCGGGGAGGCGUUACCGGCAGAAGAAGCACCGGCUAACUCCGUGCCAGCAGCCGCGGUAAUAC
rnacentral:rRNA from 1 species